GGGGAAUAUUGCACAAUGGAGGAAACUCUGAUGCAGCAACGCCGCGUGGAGGAUGACGCAUUUCGGUGUGUAAACUCCUUUUAUAGGGGAAGAUAAUGACGGUACCCUAUGAAUAAGCACCGGCUAACUCCGUGCCAGCAGCCGCGGUAAUACGGAGGGUGCAAGCGUUACUCGGAAUCACUGGGCGUAAAGGAUGCGUAGGCUGGAAAUCAAGUCGAGAGUGAAAUCCAACGGCUCAACCGUUGAACUGCUCUCGAAACUGGUUACCUAGAAUAUGGGAGAGGUAGAUGGAAUUAGUGGUGUAGGGGUAAAAUCCGUAGAUAUCACUAGGAAUACCGAUUGCGAAGGCGAUCUACUGGAACAUUAUUGACGCUGAGGCACGAAAGCGUGGGGAGCAAAC
rnacentral:rRNA from 1 species